rnacentral:rRNA from 1 species
CGGGUUGCUUGAGAGUGCAGCUCUAAGUUGGUGGUAAACUCCAUCUAAGGCUAAAUAUGACCACGAGACCGAUAGCGAACAAGUACCGUGAGGGAAAGUUGAAAAGAACUUUGAAGAGAGAGUUAAAGAGUACGUGAAACCGUUCAGGGGUAAACCUGAGAAACCCAAAAGAUCGAAUGGGGAGAUUCAUCGUCAGCGGCGUUGGCUUCCUUGCGGAUCGCGAUGCUCGGGACCUCGGUCUCGCGGCACGCGUUCGCUGAGGUAUGUCCGACGCUCGUCGACGUGCACUUCUCCCCUAGUAGGACGUCGCGACCCGUUGGGUGUCGGCCUACGGCCCGGUCGGUCGACUGUCGCGUCGCGUUCACGCGCGCUCGCGUCAGACCACCGGUCGCCCGGCCGACUGCCCGGCGGUAUGGAUCGCUAUUUAUAACGGUACUGAGCCGCACUAAGUGCGUUCCGGCUCGUCGGCAGCCUCGCCUCGCUCGGAUUUUACGGACCUAGUGCCGUUGCCGGGCGCUUGGCGCGGGUGUUCGCCGACGAUGUCCUCGAACCGGCUCGUUACAUUCGAACGGAAUUACCGGUCGGCGACGCUACUGCUUUGGGUACUUUCAGGACCCGUCUUGAAACACGGACCAAGGAGUCUAACAUGUGCGGGAGUCAUUGGGACUUUAUAAGCCUAAAGGCGCAAUGAAAGUGAAGGUCGGCCUUAGCGUCGACCGAGGGAGGAUGGCUCGCGUCACGAUGCGAGCCCGCACUCCCGGGGCGUCUCGUGCUCAUCACGAGCAGAGGCGCACCCAGAGCGUACACGUUGGGACCCGAAAGAUGGUGAACUAUGCCUGGUCAGGACGAAGUCAGGGGAAACCCUGAUGGAGGUCCGUAGCGAUUCUGACGUGCAAAUCGAUCGUCGGAACUGGGUAUAGGGGCGAAAGACUAAUCGAACCAUCUAGUAGCUGGUUCCCUCCGAAG